rnacentral:ncRNA from 2 species
CACUCAUCGAGAGAGGUGGAGGGACCGGCCCUGUGAAGCCUCGGCAACCGGCAAGGCAGUCGGUGCCAAUUCCGGCAGAUGUACCGCGAAAAGCGGUCUUCUGGAAGAUGAGGC